AUUGAACGCUGGCGGCAGGCCUAACACAUGCAAGUCGAGCGGAUGAAGGGAGCUUGCUCCUGGAUUCAGCGGCGGACGGGUGAGUAAUGCCUAGGAAUCUGCCUGGUAGUGGGGGAUAACGUCCGGAAACGGGCGCUAAUACCGCAUACGUCCUGAGGGAGAAAGUGGGGGAUCUUCGGACCUCACGCUAUCAGAUGAGCCUAGGUCGGAUUAGCUAGUUGGUGGGGUAAAGGCCUACCAAGGCGACGAUCCGUAACUGGUCUGAGAGGAUGAUCAGUCACACUGGAACUGAGACACGGUCAAGACUCCUACGGGAGGCAGCAGUGGGGAAUAUUGGACAAUGGGCGAAAGCCUGAUCCAGCCAGGCCGCGUGUGUGAAGAAGGUCUUCGGAUUGUAAAGAACUUUAAGUUGGGAGGAAGGGCAGUAAGUUAAUACCUUGCUGUUUUGACGGUACCAACAGAAUAAGCACCGGCUAACUUCGUG
rnacentral:rRNA from 1 species